CCUACGGGUGGCAGCAGUGGGGAAUAUUGGACAAUGGGCGAAAGCCUGAUCCAGCCAUGCCGCGUGUGUGAAGAAGGCCUUCGGGUUGUAAAGCACUUUCAGUGGGGAAGAAAGCCUUGGGGCGAAUACCCUCGAGGAAGGACAUCACCCACAGAAGAAGCACCGGCUAACUCCGUGCCAGCAGCCGCGGUAAUACGGAGGGUGCGAGCGUUAAUCGGAAUUACUGGGCGUAAAGCGCGCGUAGGCGGUCUGAUAAGCCGGUUGUGAAAGCCCCGGGCUCAACCUGGGAACGGCAUCCGGAACUGUCAGGCUAGAGUGCAGGAGAGGAAGGUAGAAUUCCCGGUGUAGCGGUGAAAUGCGUAGAGAUCGGGAGGAAUACCAGUGGCGAAGGCGGCCUUCUGGACUGACACUGACGCUGAGGUGCGAAAGCGUGGGUAGCAAACAGGAUUAGAUACCCCUGUAGUC
rnacentral:rRNA from 1 species